GCUGGGGACCGAACCCAGGGCCUUGCACUUGCUAGGCAAGCGCUCUACCACUGAGCUAAAUCCCUAACCCCUGGGUACAUUUUCAACUUCAGACUCUUUUACCUUCAACUUCCUAGGUGCUGAGAUUACUGGUGUGAACCCCCACACCCAGCUUUCGAAAAAUGUUUUUACUUUAUUUUUUCCUUCUUCUCAUGUUUUUAGGCAAGAUCUUGCUAUGCAGCCUACACUUACCCCAAAUUCACUAUCCUCCUGCCUUAGCUGCUUAAAUGCUAGGAUUGCAGCAGACAUGUACGGCCAUGCCUGGAUUUCGCUGUGCCUGUUUUGUUUAGAUAUGCUUGGAUCUGCAGAGAAACCGGAAGCACAGGUUCGUUGCCUAGGAACAGUAGGCUUUCCCACGUAGUCUAGGUGUGUGCUGAGCCAAACGAUCUAGGCUUCUAAGUACACUGUGAUGUUCCCACAACGACAAGAUCAAACAGCGGCUCUUCUCUCAGAAAAGCUCCAUUUUAGUGGACGCAUGGCUACUCUUUAUCCAAUUCAUGGGUUCAUUUCCAACAUCGCUUCCUCAAUUAGCCCUUCCGUCCAUCUUUCGAAGGUCACCCACACCCCUCUCCCUAAAGCUUUUCAGCAUGAAGUUAUUUACCCAGCUAUGUCCACCUCUUCCUGUCAACUUCCAGGAGACGACUCCCCAGGAUCUAAUUCAAUGUGAGAAGGGCUGGAGAGGAAAUCCAGUUGGCAGAAUGCCUGCUUAGCUGAGGAGGCACCCAGCCUCAUGGCCUGAGGAACUACAGGUUCUCAGCCUUUCCAUUGGGAAGACGGUCAUUGUUGGACUACCCAGACCAUACCGGGAUGGAGCCCAGGGCCUCCCGCACGCCAGGAAACUGCUCUCCACUGGAGCUGCGCUCCCAGCACUGUUGCUGCCCUUCUGAAGAGAAGAACUAACUGAAAUCACUUGGCUUCCACGUGAAAUUGCAUACGGAAGAUAAAUAUUCAAGGAACUUUCAAAUUCUGUAUCUUUUAAUAAGCUGUUGCUAGAUCACAAAGCUAAAGCCAGUAAGGUAGAUUUGAAAGAGAUUUGUUGAUAAUACCAGCACUGUGAAAAUCAUAAGUAAAUAUGUUAGUGAAAUUCGAAUAGGAAGAAGUCCAGCUGAGUUUUUUUUUUUUUUUUUUUUUUUUUUUCCGGAGCUGGGGACCGAACCCAGGGCCUUGCGCUUCCUAGGUAAGCGCUCUACCACUGAGCUAAAUCCCCAGCCCCCCAGCUGAGUUUUACCAUGGUCCCCCAUCUCCUACUCCCACUUUCCACUCCAGCUUUUUUUGAUACAGUGUAUUAUUUAUUUUAAAGAUUUAUUUAUUUAUUUAUUUAUUUAUUUAUUUAUUUAUUUAUUUAUAAGUAUACUGUAGCUGUCUUCAGACACACCAGAAGAGGGCAUCAGAUCUCAUUACAGAUGGUUGUGAGCCACCAUGUGGAGGCUGGGAUUUGAACUCAGGACCUCUGGAAGAGCAGUCAGUGCUCUUAACCUCUGAGUCAUCUCUCUAGCCUGAGACAGUGUAUUAUAUUGCCCUGGUAUUUGCUAUAUAGUCCAGGCUGUUUUUAAAUUUGAAAUCCUUCAACCUCUGGAAUAUAGGCAUGUGUAGCUAGGCCUGGCCCUACUGGCUUAUUUAUAGAAAUUGAAAAAUCAAUAUGGACUGAAAGUUUGUUUGUUUAUUUAUUUAUUUAUUUACUUAUUGGUGUUUUUGAAAAAGGGUCUCUCUUUGUGGCCCUAGCUAUCCUGGAAUUUACCACAUAGACCAGGCUGGCCUGAGCCUCACAGAGAUCUGCCUGUCUCUGGGCAGUCACAUCCAGCUUUAACAGAAUCUUGAGAAGGAACAAAGGACUCAGGUUUUUCUAACUUCAAAGCUUAACUGCUAAGUAUCAAUAAUGUCGCCAGUAUCGCACUGCCAUAGCACAUAUAAAAUUAAAUGAGAUGAAGUUGGCAACAAAAAUGCACUUUUAGAAUCAGUCCAUGGGGGUUGGGGAUUUAGCUCAGUGGCAGAGCGCUUGCCUAGGAAGCGCAAGGCCCUGGGUUCGGUCCCCAGCUCCGAAAAAAAAAGAACCAAAAAAAAAAAAAAAAAAAAAAAAGAAUCAGUUCAUUUUUAAAAUUUCAAUUAAGUUUAUCUAACCAGGUAUAUAAAAACAUAAAAUUAUACAUAUUUAUUAAUAAGUCUGUAAUGUGACAAGGUUGUUGAAGUUUUGACAGUUAGGGCAAUGAAAGUUAGAUGCCAAGCUAAGUCAGUAGGGAAAGGUCAAUGUUUUCAACUAGUUGUGCUAGAAUAAAUCCACAGACACAAAAGUAGAAUCCAUAGGAUUCUACUAUAGACUGUAUACAAAAUUAACUCAAAAUGGACAAAAUCUUAAGAGGUAAAAUUCUCAGGGUGACACAGAACUAGCUGACCAUGACGUUAGAUAGUGCAGCCAAAAUAUGAAAAGUAAAAGGAGGGCUAGAAGCUGAGCACAACUGUGGACAAUGAAAUUCCAGCAGCACUCGGGAGGCAGAGGCAGGCAGAACUCUGUGAGUUCGAGGCCAGCCUGGUCUACAGGGUGAAUUCCAGGGCAGCCAGGGUUACACAGAGAAACCACCUCUUGAAAAACAAACAAAACAAAAGAGAAAAGCAAAGAAAAAAGAGGAUAGGUGGGGCUGGAGAGAUUGCUCAGUGGUCAUUGGCUGCUCUUCAGAAAGACCUGGAUCCUUGCUCCUACACGAUGGCUCACAAUCAACUAGAACUACAAUUCCAGGGAUCCAACACCCUUUCCUGGGCUCUGUGGGCACCAGGCAGGCAUGUGCUAGCUACAUAGCUAGCAAACAAAAUGCUCAUACACAUAAAAUAAAUGAGUACAUUUAAAAAAAUAAAAGAAGGGCUGGGGAUUUAGCUCAGUGGUAGAGCGCUUACCUAGGAAGCGCAAGGCCCUGGGUUCGGUCCCCAGCUCCGAAAAAAAAGAACCAAAAAAAAAAAAAAAGAAAGAAAACAGGUAACAGGUGUAUGUAUGGCUGUUAGCCCAGCCCUGGGGAGACUGAAGCAGGAGGAUAUCAAUUUUGAAGACAGACCGGUCACAGUAGCAAGCUUUAGGCCAGACUGGUUUACAUAAUAAAACUUUAUCUGAACUUGCUGUGUAGCUCAGGAUAACCUCGAACUCCUCACUCUUUUGUCUCCACCUCCCAUUAUAUCUGUGGACCAGUGCUCCCCAUUUAUAGGUAGUGGGGAUCAAACCCAGUGCCUUGUGCAUACUAAGCAGGACCUUUGCAAGUAGAACUACAUCUCCAGCCCACUAAUUAUUAAAUAGGCAAAUAAUAUAUGCAAUUAUGUAAAUUGAUAUAAACACUUUAGAGGAUGCAUAUGUAUACCUAUAUAAAUAUGUAAAUCUACACAUGCAUAUGUAGAUCUAACAGAUAUGCAUAUUUAUGUGUUAUAUAAUAUAUAGGUUAUAUUGUAUAAUAUAAAUAUACACACAGAUACAUUCAUCCAAACAUAAGUUAAAAGGGAGGGGUGGAAAAGUAUACACUAAAUGUUAUUAGUUGGACUGUCCGGCCCACGGCACAUGUUGUUUGUAAUCCCAGCACUUUGGAGGCAGAGGAAGGUGAAUCUCUGAGUUUGAGGCCAGCCUGGUCUACAAAGUGAGUUUCAGGAUAGCCAAGACUACAAAGAGAAACCCUGUCUCAAAAAACAAAACAAGAAAAGGGUCAAGAGGAUCAGGGUGAAGGCUCAGGGGUAAAGGCACUUGUGGCUGAACCUGAGAACUUGAAAUCUAUUUCUAGGAAACCCCAUACUGGAAGGAGAAAACAGCUACUGCCACUUACCCUCUGACCUCCACGUGUAAACUGUGCCAUCUGCAGGUACAUGCACACACAGAGUCACACAAAGACAUACAAAACAUCCGAAACACAAUUCACAAUUGCAAUUCUUUCUACAGAAAAAGAAAGAAAAGAAUUUCCGUACCACGGCCCCCUCCAAAACAUGUGAUACAUUUAUUCGAGUACUAAAUUGAUCAACUGUGUACUCCCUCUUAGGACUAAAUAAAUAAAAUGGGGCUGAUGUCUUGGGGGGAGCUAUUAUAUGCUUUUAAAUCAUAUAUUUUAAAAAAUUGCAUAACAGCAUCCCUUCUGCUAAAUUACAUUUGCCAAGUAGAUGUUCGAGUUGAACAAGUGAGAACCAAGUAAGUACAGCUCAGGCUGAGGGCUGAGGUCCCCAUACCUGCGUUAUCUGUCUCUCCCAGAUCAAGAUCAAGUCUUUCAUAUGAGAUUUCAAAGCAUUUACAGAUGUUAAUUAGUUCAUAACAACCAUGAGAAGCAGGCACAUUUGAUCAUGAGAAUUAUGCCUGUUCUCCCCGGGAGGAGGUGGACAGGUUGAAUGAUUUCCCAGGAUUCCGCAGUCCAUGACUGUUAGUGAAAGUAAGAGUUCUCCUCACUAGCAAUUUUCUUUUUCUGGAAAAGUGAUAAAGUGGACUAGAGAAAAAGCUCUACCUGUCAAGAGUUUGCCAUGCAAACAUGAAGAUCCAGGUUCCAUCUCUAACAAUCCACGCCAAAGCUAACAGGGUGGCCUUCACAUGUAAUCCCACCUCUGGGGAUGGGCACAGAAAAGGGAUCCCUGAGGCUGCCUAGCUAGUCUAGCCUAGCCAGCAAGUACCAGGUCCCAGGGAGAGACUCUGUCUCAAAGAACAAGGUGACUGGCUCCUGAGGAGGCACUCCCAAGCCUGACUACACACAUGCACAUACAUGCACAUGAACAUACACAUCUGCACAAACACAUAACACAGAGAGAGAGAAAGUUGUCAGUCAAUGUAAACCAAGCCAAACUAAUUAUUCAUAUGCUGAAUAUUUAAAAAACACAACUACUUUUACUUUUUAUGUUUUCUGUUGUUUUUUUUUUCUACCCCCAAGCCCCUUUCAGUGAAGCUUAUUAGAAUAAAAGGUCUGCAAGGUUAUGAUUGGUCCUUGAGGUGGAGAGCAUUGAACAGAAACAAUCUUAUAUCUGGAGAUCUGAACCUGAUGCCAUCUUGAAGGGGAGGAGAGGAGCGCCCCUAGAGAGUGCCUUCAGAAAGGUCUCCCUCUGCAGCAGCCUCCCUCCCUCCCUCAUAUCAAUCCCUUUACAUUUCCUUAACUAUUUGGAGUGUUUUGCUGGGCACAAUGGCAUUCAUCUUUAAUCCCAGCAUGUGGGAAGCAGAGGCAGGCAGAUCUCUGAGUUCCAGACCAGUCUGGUCUACAGAGUGAGUUCCAGGACAGGCAGGGUUACAAUAGAGAAACCCUGUCUCGAAAGGAGAAAGUUAUUUAUGUUGGAAUUUUUUUGUUUGUCUCUCUCAAGAGAGGUUAUCUCUGUUCAGUCCUGGCUGUCGUGGAGCUCACUCUGUAGACCAGGCUGACCUCAACUGUCUCUCAUUUGAGUGCUGAGGUUUCAGGUUGGGUGAACCACAUACAGCUUGUAGCUGUAGAACUAGAGUUUCAUAAAGGUUACUCAUUGUCAGAGUCCGAUGUGCAGGGCCGGACGUGCCUGAGGGAGAGCCAGAGAUAGGACUUGCCGAACCAGCUAUCAGCCCCAAGGACACUGACCAUCCUUCCUUCCCCAAGGACACCCUCCCCUUCCUUCACCCCCCUGAGUGAGAUGAGCCACCCUACCUGCCUGCCGAGCUGCUAGAUAACACACACUCCUUGCUGAUGUCAUUUCGCGCCGAAAGUAACCGUGCACCUUUUGAAUUGACCAAUCAUGUGUAACCGCGCGAAUGCCCCUUACCUCCCCUAUAAAAACCCCCGAGUUUGGAAGCUCGGGGUCGAUUCCUCUGUCUCCUGUGUGAGAUAUGUGUCGACCCGGGAUCCCACUAAGACCUGGGAUCUCGUUAAUAAAGCUACCUCUUGCUGUUA